rnacentral:lncRNA from 1 species
UCUUGUUAUUCCUAAGAAAACUCAUUUGAAAAUAUUUUUGUUCUUCUUCACAGCAUGCAACUGUGUGAUUACUCCUACUAACUUUCUCUACCCCAGCCAAAUCAUGCAUAUCACCAAGGAGGUGCCAGUGUAAAAGGAAAAGAAUAGAGCAUUCCUAAACUAUAAUGAUGUGCCCCCGGGCCAUACUUGGUCUUUUUAGUAACCAGGCCACACAGCAGGAGAUGAGUGGCAGGCAAAGGAGCAUCACUGCCUGAGCUCCGCCUCCUGUCGGAUCAGCCAGGGCAUUAGAUUCUCAUAGGAGCACGAACCCUAUUGUGAACUGCGCAUGCGAGGGAUCUAACUUGCGCGCUUCUUAUGAGAGUCUAACGUCUGAUGAUCUAAUAUGCCUGAUGAUCUAAUAUGCCUGAUGAUCACCCCUCACCUCCUCUGGAAGAAAAAUUGUCUUAGCAGCCAUUAGACCGCUUUGACAAGGGAUAGUAAUUCACCUCAAUAUACCUUUCAAAUUUGUUAAAUAAAUGAGAGUAACGUGGGUGUCCCAUUUGCUACUGUUCACUCCUAACUGAAAGAGCUGUGAAAAGUUAAAGUAGAGAUACAGCAAUUGCAUGACCACCUGCUGUUCUUUGUGACAGCUGCCACUGCCCCUUGACACAAACUGGCAUAGCAUUGUCACCUAAUAACUAGGCAAUCCAAAAAUCUGGGGGUAUCUUAAUGAAUGUACUACAGUGUACAUUGGUCUGAGGAUUUAUGCUGUCAUUCUGGUACCAGGAGUAAAGGCUAAUAACCUCAGCUUCCAAAUGAAUAUUUGCAAAACUCUCAAGCCAAGAUGGUUUAACUGCAUUUGUGAAAAUAGUUGCCUUUUCCAGCAUCAGGCAUGGCUUAGUUUUGUAAUUUUAGGUUUAAAUUAAAACAAAAUAUUGUUCUUAGGAUUACACGUAUGAAGAAAGGAAGCUUUAGCUUCUCACUUACAGGGGAAUUAUCUAUAUAAUAUAUUUUUGGAGUCCUGUUUAAAUCCAUCAUCAAGAUCCUUUCUUUUAUAACUACCUAAUGAUCUAUUAUUCAAGCCAAAAUAUCGUAGGUUUUAUGGUUUUCACUUAUUAUUCAGAGCAACUGUCUCAUGACUAUGUAACAUCUCAUAUCCCACUCAGUGUCUCCAGCCUAAGAAAAGUUGGUUAUGUUUUUCUCUCUUAUUUGAAUUGUGAGAUUCAAAUAAAUGUGAAUCAGAUAAAAACUUAACCCUUUUACAAGAUUAGCUAUUAUGGCCUGCUGACUGGCUGAUUAAAAACAGAAACUAUUUAAUGAGAAAUUAGGUUUUAAAUGGAAAGCAGAGCCAUACACAGCAGCCUCAUCAGGAGUAAAUACAGGUUGUAGGCACAAAUAUAAGACAUAAUACUUUCUGCUCCCAUGGGGCUCUUCUUUGACAGGCAGAGCCACCAAAAAAAGGAAGUAAAAUUCUCAUUAUCAUCCCAAGGACACAAAACGGUAACUGAAUUGAGUAGGAGAAAAUAAUUGGGUUAGAAUGUAUUCUUAUAAUAUGGGAAUGGAGCUUUUCCUAGUUUUUGUUUAAAUUUUUCCUAUUUUUAGUUUAUGAUUCCAAUUUAAUGCUGCUGUUGAUUUAGUCUAUGCUUUUGUCUUUUAUGGAAAACUUCCAAUGAAUAAGCUAAAGGGAAAACUUGCAAAAUCCAUAAAUACUCUAACAUGACUAAACUUGUCCCCUGUACCUUUAGAGACCAGAAUUUAAAGAUAGAUACCAAAGGAUCUUGUGAUGAUGCAUUGGAUUAAUUCACUAGCCUCUCACU